rnacentral:rRNA from 1 species
UACGAAGGGGGCUAGCGCUGCUCGGAAUUACUGGGCGUAAAGGGCGCGUAGGCGGACAGUUUAGUCAGAGGUGAAAGCCCCCGGCUUAACUGGGGAGGGUCAUUCGAUACUGCUCGGCUCGAAGACAGGAGAGGGAAGUGGAAUUCCCGGUGUAGUGGUGAAAUGCGUAGAUAUCGGGAGGAACACCAGUGGCGAAGGCGACUUUCUGGCCUGUUCUUGACGCUGAGGCGCGAAAGCUAGGGGAGCAAACGGG